rnacentral:rRNA from 1 species
AGUGAACGCUGGCGGUAGGCCUAACACAUGCAAGUCGAACGGCAGCACAGUAAGAGCUUGCUCUUACGGGUGGCGAGUGUCGGACGGGUGAGGAAUACAUCGGAAUCUACUUUUUCGUGGGGGAUAACGUAGGGAAACUUACGCUAAUACCGCAUACGACCUACGGGUGAAAGCAGGGGAUCUUCGGACCUUGCGCGAUUGAAUGAGCCGAUGUCGGAUUAGCUAGUUUGCGGGGUAAAGGCCCACCAAGGCGACGAUCCGUAGCUGGUCUGAGAGGAUGAUCAGCCACAGUGUAAAUGAGACACGGUCCAGACUCCUACGGGAGACAGCAGUGGGGAAUAUUGGACAAAGGGCACAAACCUGAUCCAGCCAUACCGCGUGGGUGAAGAAGGCAUUCGGGUUGUAAAGCACUUUUGUUGGGAAAGAAAAGCAGAAGGUGAAUACCCAGCUGUUCUGACGGUACCCAAAGAAUAAGCACCGGAUAACUUCGUG